AGCAGCCGCGGUAAUUCCAGCUCCAAUAGCGUAUAUUAAAGUUGUUGCAGUUAAAAAGCUCGUAGUUGAAUUUCGGGAUCAGUUCGUCGGUCGUGCCUUUGGUAUGUACUGGUGUUACUGGUUCCUCCCUUCUGACGAACCGUCAUGUCAUUAAUUUGGUGUGGCGGGAAAUCAGGACUGUUACUUUGAAAAAAUUAGAGUGUUUAAAGCAGGCUCGCGCUUGAAUACAUUAGCAUGGAAUAAUGAAAUAGGACGUUCGAUCCUAUUUUGUUGGUUUCUAGGAUUGACGUAAUGAUUAAUAGGGAUAGUUGGGGGCAUUAGUAUUCAAUUGUCAGAGGUGAAAUUCUUGGAUUUAUUGAAGACUAACUACUGCGAAAGCAUUUGCCAAGGAUGUUUUCAUUAAUCAAGAACGAAAGUUAGGGGAUCGAAGACGAUCAGAUACCGUCGUAGUCUUAACCAUAAACUAUGCCGACUAGGGAUCGGAUGAUGUUAAUUUUUAAUGACUCAUUCGGCGCCUUAA
rnacentral:rRNA from 1 species